UACAUGGGGUGCAAACGUUGCUCGGAAUUAUUGGGCGUAAAGCGCGCGUAGGCGGUUAUCUAAGUCGGAUGUGAAAGCCCUCGGCUUAACUGAGGAAGUGCACCCGAAACUGGGUAGCUAGAGUACUAAAGAGGGUCGCGGAAUUCCCGGUGUAGAGGUGAAAUUCGUAGAUAUCGGGAGGAACACCGGUGGCGAAGGCGGCGACCUGGGUAGAUACUGACGCUGAGGCGCGAAGGCGUGGGGAGCGAACGGG
rnacentral:rRNA from 1 species